rnacentral:rRNA from 1 species
AGUGAACGCUGGCGGUAGGCCUAACACAUGCAAGUCGAACGGCAGCACAGUAAGAGCUUGCUCUUACGGGUGGCGAGUGGCGGACGGGUGAGGAAUACAUCGGAAUCUACUUUUUCGUGGGGGAUAACGUAGGGAAACUUACGCUAAUACCGCAUACGACCUACGGGUGAAAGCAGGGGAUCUUCGGACCUUGCGCGAUUGAAUGAGCCGAUGUCGGAUUAGCUAGUUGGCGGGGUAAAGGCCCACCAAGGCGACGAUCCGUAGCUGGUCUGAGAGGAUGAGAAGCAACACGGGAACGGAAAAGCGGUCAAGACUCCUCGGGAAGGCAGAAGGGGGAAAUAUGGGACAAGGGGAGAAAGCCUGAUCCAACCAUCCCGGGUGGGUAAAGAAGGCCUUGGGGUUGAAAACCCUUUUUGUGGGAAAAGAAAAGCAGAAGGUUAAUACCCCGCUGUUCUGACGGAACCAAAAAAAUAAGAACCGGCAAACUUCGUG